rnacentral:lncRNA from 1 species
AGAGUUCACAUUUUUUUCCUGACCAUCAGUCAGUGUGUGAUGUUUUCAUGAGGAAUCUGGAUGAACUUGGCUGGAAAGACUGGGAGGAGCCCUGUGGACUCCAGCAAGCAGAAUGUGCAGCAGGUAGUGAGUGCCGCUCAGGAGACUGUCGUCCAAGUAAACUAGCCCUCAUCCAGUGGCUAAUGGAAACAGAGUCAGACACCCACAGCUAUACACUGAACUGAACUCUGGAAUCCAGUUGCAGAGAGGGAGGAAUGAAGAUAAAAGCAGUUGGGACCAGGCUGGUGAAUCCCACAGAAACAACUGGCUUGAACAAGGGAGAACACAAGGACCCCAGACUGCUGUCUGGGAGGCCAGCAAGGGACUGUUCCAGACACCUGAACAUGGGUGUUAAUGAGGAGGCCUCAGCACUCUAUGGACCCCCUGGUAGUGGAUCAGUAUUUUUCCCUGGUGUAAGAAGGGACUUUGAGAGCCCAUCCCACGUGAAGGGAUAUUCUAGGCCUGAACCCAUCCUAGGCCCUCUCCAAGAUGAUGUGGUGCACUUUGGGAUCCCCCAUGGAGGGCCCUACCCUCCCUGGGAAUUGGAGCAGGGGUGGUAUGGGGGGCUGGUCGGG